ensembl:rRNA 5S_rRNA 5S ribosomal RNA
GCUUACGGCCAUACCACCCUGAGAACGCCCGAUCUCGUCUGAUCUCGGAAGCUAAGCAGGGUCGGGCCUGGUUAGUACUUGGAUGGGAGACCGCCUGAGAAUACCAGGUGCUGCAAGCU